AUUGAACGCUGGCGGCAGGCCUAACACAUGCAAGUCGAGCGAGCGGCGGACGGGUGAGUAAUGUAUGGGGACUGCCCGCUAGAGGGGGGUAACUACUGGAAACGGUGGCUAAUACCGCCUGCUAGCGGAUAACCCAUAUGGGAUUAGCUAGUAGGUGAGGUAAUGGCUCACCGAGGCAACGAUCACUAGCUGGUCUGAGAGGAAGAUCAGCCACACUGGGACUGAGACACGGCCCAGACUCCUACGGAGGCAGCAGUGGGGAAGAGUGCACAAUGGGGGCAAGCCUGAUGCAGCCAUGCCGCGUGUAUGAAGAAGGCCUUAGGGUUGUAAAGUACUUUCAGCGGGGAGGCGUUACCCGCAGAAGAAUCACCGGCUAACUCCGUGCCAGCCGCCGCGGUAAUUC
rnacentral:rRNA from 1 species